GGUUAAGUUAUUAAGGGCGCAUGGUGGAUGCCUUGGCACUAGGAGCCGAUGAAGGACGUGACUAACUGCGAUAAGCUUCGGGGAGUUGUAAGUAAACUGUGAUCCGGAGAUUUCCGAAUGGGGAAACCCAACAGGAGUAAAGACCUGUUAUCACUGAGUGAAUACAUAGCUCAGUUGAAGGUAGACGUGGGGAACUGAAACAUCUAAGUACCCAUAGGAAGAGAAAGAAAAUUCGAUUCCCUGAGUAGCGGCGAGCGAAAAGGGAACAGCCCAAACCAAGAAGCUUGCUUCUUGGGGUUGUAGGACUGGACAUUUGAGUUACCAAGAAACGAAGUAGUUGAAUGAUUUGGGAAGAUCAGCCAGAGAAGGUGAUAGCCCUGUAAGCGAAACUUCGUUUCCUCAGCCCAGUAUCCUGAGUACGGCGGAACACGUGAAACUCCGUCGGAAUCCGGGAGGACCAUCUCCCAAGGCUAAAUACUCCCUAGUGACCGAUAGUGAACCAGUACCGUGAGGGAAAGGUGAAAAGCACCCCGGGAGGGGAGUGAAAUAGUUCCUGAAACCAUGUGCCUACAAGUAGUCAGAGCCCGUUAAUGGGUGAUGGCGUGCCUUUUGUAGAAUGAACCGGCGAGUUACGUUAGCGUGCGAGGUUAAGGCGCAAAGGCCGGAGCCGUAGCGAAAGCGAGUCUGAAUAGGGCGAAUGAGUACGUUGACGUAGACCCGAAACCAGGUGACCUACCCAUGUCCAGGUUGAAGGUGCGGUAAGACGCACUGGAGGACCGAACCCGUGUAUGUUGAAAAAUGCUGGGAUGAGGUGUGGGUAGAGGUGAAAUUCCAAACGAACUUGGAGAUAGCUGGUUCUCUCCGAAAUAGCUUUAGGGCUAGCCUCGGAGUUAAGGAUCGUGGAGGUAGAGCACUGUUUGGACUAGGGGCCCGUCUUGGGUUACUGAAUUCAGAUAAACUCCGAAUGCCACAGAUCUAUAUCCGGGAGUCAGACUGCGAGUGAUAAGAUCCGUAGUCGAAAGGGAAACAGCCCAGACCACCGAUUAAGGUCCCUAAAUAUGUGUUAAGUGGAAAAGGAUGUGGAAUUGCACAGACAACUAGGAUGUUGGCUUAGAAGCAGCCACCAUUUAAAGAGUGCGUAAUAGCUCACUAGUCGAGUGAUCCUGCGCCGAAAAUGUAACGGGGCUAAACACAUUACCGAAAUCGUGGAUGCAACUAUGUUGCAUGGUAGGAGAGCGUUCUAAGGGCGAUGAAGCUAGACCGUAAGGACUGGUGGAGCGCUUAGAAGUGAGAAUGCCGGUAUGAGUAGCGAAAGAUCAGUGAGAAUCUGGUCCACCGUAUGACUAAGGUUUCCUGGGGAAGGCUCGUCCUCCCAGGGUUAGUCGGGACCUAAGCCGAGGCCGAGAGGCGUAGGCGAUGGAUAACAGGUUGAGAUUCCUGUACUGGUUUGAUUUGUUUGAACGAUGGAGGGACGCAGGAGGCUAGAGAUGCGUGCUGUUGGAUAUGCACGUCCAAGCAACGAGUCUGAUGAUGAGUCAAAUGCUUAUCGUCUUAAGGACAAGUUGUGACGGGGAGCGAAAUUAAAGUAGCGAAGUGAUCGAUGUCACACUGCCGAGAAAAGCUUCUAGUUAGAAUCAGACCACCCGUACCGCAAACCGACACAGGUAGUCGAGGCGAGUAGCCUAAGGUGAGCGAGAGAACUCUCGUUAAGGAACUCGGCAAAAUGACCCCGUAACUUCGGGAGAAGGGGUGCUGCACAAUGUGCAGCCGCAGUGAAUAGGCCCAGGCGACUGUUUAUCAAAAACACAGGUUUCUGCAAAAUCGUAAGAUGAAGUAUAGGGGCUGACGCCUGCCCGGUGCUGGAAGGUUAAGAGGAUGGGUUAGCGUAAGCGAAGCUCAGAAUUGAAGCCCCAGUAAACGGCGGCCGUAACUAUAACGGUCCUAAGGUAGCGAAAUUCCUUGUCGGGUAAGUUCCGACCCGCACGAAA
rnacentral:rRNA from 1 species